rnacentral:misc_RNA from 1 species
CACGACGGAGCCCCCUUGGGUGCUGCGGAUGUAGGUCAGGCGGGCCAGGACCUCGGCCUCAGUGGGCAGGUGCUGGCGGGGCCUGAGGGCCCACACGUCAUCCUGCGCGUCCUGCGAGGUGUCUUGCAGGCCGUCAUGCAGGCCACACUGACGGAAACGUCGCAGGUCGUCUUGCAGGGCUUCUCGCAAGACGACAUAUUCAUCACCCUCGACGUGCGGUGCCAGGGACUGGUGUGGACUCGGGUGGGUCUGGGUGCCCUCGAGGGCACGCCCCCUGAUGCCGAAGAACUGGCACAGCAUCUGCCAGAACCUGGGCGUCAUCUGCAAGCCCCGCAGGGCGUUGAGCUGCCAGGGCCCGGGGCCCAGGAACAGCUCAGCCAGCUCCUCGGCCGGGAGGGCAUUAGUGCCCACGAGAGGUGGCAUCUGGGUGAACAGCUGGGUGACAGCGGUGGCGAUGCCGCUGCUGGUGAGGAGGGACGCGUCCAGGAAGAGGCGAAGAGAGCGCCGUUGGGGCGGCCGGGCUGGGUCCGCGGCAGGCGCGGGCAGCAGGGCCAGGCGCCUCCUGAACCGCAGCAUCACGAGGAGCGCGGCCAUGGCCAGGAGGUUCUUCCAGAACAGGAGGCUUCGGUAGAAGUGCAGCAGGACUGCCCUGAUCUGGGCCAUGCUGAAGUGGGCUAGGAAGCUGUUGAAUAUCUGGUCCACGGGUAUCAGCGCCAGGUACCCCUGCUGGAGGUUCUGCCCGUUGGGCUCGUCUGGGUGAAGGGCACCUUCACUCUCCUCUUCGUCCUCUGAUUCUGGGGACUGAUCCCCAGUGGGGGCCGGCAUGGUGACAAGCAUCGUUGGCCUGGUGGUGGUGGCGACACGGCGCUGCUGGGCCCUCUCGCCGAGUCUCUGCCGGCGGGGCAGGGGCUGGUCAUC